rnacentral:rRNA from 1 species
AUGGUAUUUCCCAUGAAGAAUUCAAUAGAUAUCUUCGAAGAGCAUCAAAAUGUUGAUGUUGAUCAUGACACAUUUGUCAAGAGAAUUCAUGAAGAUGUAAUCAAUCAGCGACGACAUCAAGUCAAAGGAAUGAUGAAGCAAGAGGUUAUUGGAACCACAGUUACGACACGAACUCGAACUCAAGCUUGUUGUUUAAGGCGAAAUGAUAUGACGAUGAGGAUCGACGUAAGGUUAGUUCAUCGUCGAAAAUUGCGCUCCGAGAAGAAGGGCCGGGUAGCACAGUUAAAAUCAUCACGAUAA